rnacentral:lncRNA from 1 species
GCAAAACUGUAUUUCUACAGAGAUAGAUGUUCUCUCCUUCUUGCUCUGUAUACCCACUCUUGCCUGGUCCUUAGCCAGCACAUCCCAUUUUAGUGCCUCAAUUCAUCCAUUAAGUAAAUGAAAUGGCAGUUCACUCAGCUUCCUCAGAUUUGCAACAGUAUUAGAGAACCAGCGUGGCUGAGGGGCUGCCUAGGAGUGACCAGGACUGAGGAAUUGAGAUACAGCUUGUGGAUUAAUCUGUUUGCUUUCACAACUCCAGUGCUAGAUGUUGUCUCAUGGCCUUGUCCAGCAGUCAGGAGAUGCAGAGACCUGGUCCAGAGCUUACAGAAAAAGCUGCAGUUCUUCAGGCACAGAGCUGCUCUGUGGUGGCCCAGCUCCUGCAGAGGUUGCCCUGGCUCCUUGAUGAUCUGUCCUCAGUAUCAAAGAUUCUUUAAAACCCAGUGA